rnacentral:sRNA from 1 species
GCUGGGCACUGUGGUGCACGCCUGUAAUCCCAGUCACUCGGGAGGCCGAGGCAGGAGGAGCACAAACAAUUCAGCAAGACCCUGUCUCAU